CAACCCAGUCUCAUGAAAAAACGUACCCUGACUACGUUGGUCCAAUUUGCAAAACGUGGAGGGGUUACAAUAAUGGCCCUAGAAUUGUAUGACUGUUACAUUUUUUUUUCGCCUAUUCUUUUAAUGGCCCUUGAAUUGUAUGACUGUUACGUUUUUCUUUCGUCCAAGUCACGUGACUUUCAAGCUACCGGCCGUGAGAACAAAAAAACAUGGCGGACAUUUCUCUCAUUUUUAGUGGAAAAAUCUAUAUUGUGAGUUAGUUUCUGCAUAAAAAUAAGUUUUGAUUACAUUUCUAGCGAGAAAUAUAUAUUUUAUUUUCAUAAUAUGCACUCAGUGAAUUUACAUAAUCACUCGCUUGCUCGAUGUUACGCAGAUUUUUCAGAUCUCGCCAGAAUAAUGUAAAACUGAUACGUUUUUGGUUGCUAUGGUUGCUGCCAGGGCUCGUCACAUGACGUCUUCUACAGACCAUAAUAAAUAAGAAUAAAUAGGAAGAGGCAACAAUAAAUGAUCUAUGCCAGCGCAAGUCAAUAUUUAUCUGGCCAGUCAACUGGUUUUUAAUUUUUAAAAAUCCCUCGCAGUCUGAACUGCAACAGCACGGUCUGCGGUGAGUUAAACAACGUUCAACUGCAGGAUCAAUAGCAUUCAGCGGUGAGUUUAACAACCCUCAAAUGCGGUUAAAACAACAUUCAGAGGGAAGCUUUAUUUAAACCGCGUUCAACUGCAGAUAAAACAACAUUCAGAGGUGACUUUAACAACGCUCCACGGCGCGUGGGAGUAGCAUUUUAAGCGUUUUCUGAUCAUGUAGGUAAGUGCUUUGAUUACCUUUAGACGUGAUGCAUGCUGGGAGGCAAAUAUUUUUUUAUCAAAGGCUCGUUGAUGGUAAUAAAUAUACAUAUAAAUAUACAUUUUACUAUACUACGAUUGUGUUCGAUUAAUUAAUGGGUUGUUUAAUUAUUAAUUUGUUUAUUUUAAAUCCUGUAAUUUAACAACUCUGACGUCAUCGAAUGCGACGAUGCCAAGGUCCAUUGCGAUUUCCACUCGAAUUCGCCUUUCAAAGCCUACAGCGAACGGACGGUUUGGACUUCAGCCCUCUACUUCCUGCUUUAAUGAUGUCACUAGAACAGUUUUUUGACUAAACUCCACCCACAGGAAUACAUCAGUGGCCAGCUAAGCUAACGGAUACUGUUUUCUACCGGCUGGUUAUUGAAACGGAGGUCUUGUACAAAGAAGGGAAAUACGUCAAAUCACUAACGUCCACAUUCAAAAAUAAGGUGCGAGCCAAGCCAAUUUUAUUUAUUGGGAAACAGGAUAAAAAGGCUUCGAAUAAGUGGGUUGCAUAUAUUAUUACCCAUUGGCACCCCACUCCUGUCACUACAAUUUUUUGGAGGAGAUGCGGAGGGCUUUAUCUUGACAAAAGGUCAGAGUAAUGUUUAUGUUUAGAGAUUUAGGAUUUAAAAUACAUGUAUAUUCCUUUGUUGAUAUGUACAGAUUUUAUGAUGAAAGUAAACUUGUAUUAUAGCAACCUCCACAGGACAGCAGCCUGAGAGCCUUGCCAAUGGAGCGGCCUGAGAGCCCUGCUGUGAAAUGGCCGGAGAACCUCACCAAGAAGUCUGAGGCUAUAUUUGUACUAAAUCUUGUUCUUCUGUCUUCUAGACUCUCUCCAACCUCUCUUGCUCCUACUACCUCUACUGCUUUUACAACAAUUUUCUCUCCACUUUUUUUCCCCACCUUCACUGCCAUGCUCUAAGUUUUUGCCACAGAGGAAGAGGAAGAUAAAGAAAUCUACCUCUUCCCACUAUACCACACUUGUCUCUCUUCAAUUUGCAUCUGUCUCUUCCAGUUCUAAAUCUCAGAAGUGGCCACUGGUGAAGAACAGAAUAAAGGAUAACUUUUCCUGUUACCUCUUACUCCACAAUUUGCUCCUAGUCAAAUAUGUCUUCAUGUUAAUUAAAUUCAUUUAGCUAACCAGGUAUUUGUUAGCCAGUUCACAGUGUUUUAGAGCCCAAUGUCCAAGGACUGUGGUCAAUGUAAAUUCCUGACUUAAAGGGACACUUCACUUUUUUUUGCUAAUUUUCCAGCAGUAAGUUUUACCGUUUUAGAAUCCAUUCAGCUGAUUUCCGCGUCUGGCACUACCACUUUUAGCAUAGCUUAGCAUAAUACAUUGAAUCUGAUUAGGCCAUUAGCAUCACGCCAAAAAAUAACCAAAGAGUUUCGAUAUUUUUCCUAUUUAAAACUUCUUCUGUAGUUACAUCGUGUACUAAGACAGACGGAAAAUUUAAAGUUGUGAUUUUCUCAGCUGAUAUUUCUAGGAACUAUACUCUUAUUCUGUCGUAAUAAUCAAGGACUUUGCUGUCGUAACAUGGCUGCAGAAGGCAUAAUGAUAUAACGCAGUGCCCGAAAAUAGUCCCCUUAGUAUCUUUCAAUAGCAGGGGCAAUUUUCGGGCACUGCGUAAUAUCAUUUUGGUUGAUUGACAAAAACAAGCACAAAUUUGUUUGACACUAAUGGAAAGGACUGCAUAUCACUUCACAUAAAUAUGGACUCAUGUGAUUCACCUACAAAGCAUGGCAUUCAUGGCUUAAUAAACUUUUUGUCUUUUCAUCAUUUCAGGUUGCUGAAAAUGUAGUUGGCAGAAGGUUUCCUUUUCGAUAAAAUAACUGGGGAACAGAUAAAUGAGAGGAAAGCCGAAUUGAAAGUUCACUGGUUACGUGCUCUGUGUGUGGAAAAACUUGGGAUGACUCAUAGGAGCCUGCCAGCGAAUUCCAACACAAGUCCCCACAUCCCAACCAGUUUUCAGCAUGACAGCCUACACCUUUACAUUAUCAAGCACCCUUCAACUGUUUAAUUUUGAGUGUCUUUGCUUGCUGUUCUUUAUUAAAGUUUUUGCACAGUA